rnacentral:rRNA from 1 species
AGCGAACGCUGGCGGCAGGCUUAACACAUGCAAGUCGAGCGGGCACCUUCGGGUGUCAGCGGCAGACGGGUGAGUAACACGUGGGAACGUACCCUUUGGUUCGGAACAACUCUGGGAAACUGGAGCUAAUACCGGAUACGCCCUUAUGGGGAAAGGUUUACCGCCGAAGGAUCGGCCCGCGUCUGAUUAGCUAGUUGGUGAGGUAACGGCCCACCAAGGCGACGAUCAGUAGCUGGUCUGAGAGGAUGAUCAGUCACACGGGCACUGAGACACGGGCCCGACUCCUACGGGAGGCAGCAGUAAGGGAAUAUUGGGACAAUGGGCGGCAAGCCUGAUCCAGCAAUGCCGCGUGUGUGAAGAAGGUUUUCGG